GAACGCUAGCUACAGGCUUAACNCAUGCAAGUCGAGGGCAGCAUGGUCUUAGCUUGCUAAGGCCGAUGGCGACCGGCGCACGGGUGAGUAACACGUAUCCAACCUGCCGUCUACUCUUGGACAGCCUUCUGAAAGGAAGAUUAAUACAAGAUGGCAUCAUGAGUCCGCAUGUUCACAUGAUUAAAGGUAUUCCGGUAGACGAUGGGGAUGCGUUCCAUUAGAUAGUAGGCGGGGUAACGGCCCACCUAGUCUUCGAUGGAUAGGGGUUCUGAGAGGAAGGUCCCCCACAUUGGAACUGAGACACGGUCCAAACUCCUACGGGAGGCAGCAGUGAGGAAUAUUGGUCAAUGGACGAGAGUCUGAACCAGCCAAGUAGCGUGAAGGAUGAAGGUCCUACGGAUUGUAAACUUCUUUUAUAAGGGAAUAAACCCUCCCACGUGUGGGAGCUUGUAUGUACCUUAUGAAUAAGCAUCGGCUAACUCCGUG
rnacentral:rRNA from 1 species